CUACGGGCUGCUCCAGUGGGGAAUAUUGCACAAUGGGCGCAAGCCUGAUGCAGCCAUGCCGCGUGUAUGAAGAAGGCCUUCGGGUUGUAAAGUACUUUCAGCGGGGAGGAAGGGAGUAAAGUUAAUACCUUUGCUCAUUGACGUUACCCGCAGAAGAAGCACCGGCUAACUCCGUGCCAGCAGCCGCGGUAAUACGGAGGGUGCAAGCGUUAAUCGGAAUUACUGGGCGUAAAGCGCACGCAGGCGGUUUGUUAAGUCAGAUGUGAAAUCCCCGGGCUCAACCUGGGAACUGCAGCUGAUACUGGCAAGCUUGAGUCUCGUAGAGGGGGGUAGAAUUCCAGGUGUAGCGGUGAAAUGCGUAGAGAUCUGGAGGAAUACCGGUGGCGAAGGCGGCCCCCUGGACGAAGACUGACGCUCAGGUGCGAAAGCGUGGGGAGCAAACAGGAUUAGAUACCCGCGUAGUC
rnacentral:rRNA from 1 species